UUUAUGGAGAGUUUGAUCCUGGCUCAGGAUGAACGCUGGCGGCGUGCCUAAUACAUGCAAGUCGAGCGAACGGACGAGAAGCUUGCUUCUCUGAUGUUAGCGGCGGACGGGUGAGUAACACGUGGAUAACCUACCUAUAAGACUGGGAUAACUUCGGGAAACCGGAGCUAAUACCGGAUAAUAUUUUGGACCGCAUG
rnacentral:rRNA from 1 species